UACGUAGGGUGCAAGCGUUGUCCGGAAUUAUUGGGCGUAAAGAGCUCGUAGGCGGUCUGUCGCGUCUGCUGUGAAAACUCAGGGCUUAACCCUGAGCUUGCAGUGGGUACGGGCAGACUAGAGUGCGGUAGGGGAGACUGGAAUUCCUGGUGUAGCGGUGAAAUGCGCAGAUAUCAGGAGGAACACCCGUGGCGAAAGCGGCUCUCUGGGACGGUACUGACGCUGAAGACGCGAAAGCGUGGGGAGCGAACAGG
rnacentral:rRNA from 1 species